AUACGUAGGGGGCGAGCGUUGUGCGGAAUGAUUGGGCGUAAAGGGCGCGUAGGCGGCCCGGUAAGUCUGGAGUGAAAGUCCUGUUUUUAAGAUGGGAAUUGCUUUGGAUACUGUCGGGCUUGAGUGCAGGAGAGGUAAGUGGAAUUCCCAGUGUAGCGGUGAAAUGCGUAGAGAUUGGGAGGAACACCAGUGGCGAAGGCGACUUACUGGACUGUAACUGACGCUGAGGCGCGAAAGUGUGGGGAGCAAACAGGAUUAGAUACCCUGGUAGUCCACACUGUAAACGAUGAAUGCUAGGUGUAGGGGGUAUCGACCCCUUCUGUGCCGCAGUCAACACAAUAAGCAUUCCGCCUGGGGAGUACGGCCGCAAGGUUGAAACUCAAAUGAAUUGACGGG
rnacentral:rRNA from 1 species